rnacentral:rRNA from 1 species
AUGUACAGACGCAUCGACUUUGCCAGGACUGCCAUCGACGCCACCACGGCGCCAAACAACGCCACCUCCCUGCGCGUGUCCAUCAUCACACAUCAGCCGCCAAGACCUUGCUGCGCCACGAUGCCGAGAUCCGUCGUCUUCGAUGCGGUAAAUGAAACACCGCUCCACCACUUGUCUCCCCCAUUCGGCAGCUGCACCAAAAACGAUGCCCUCAUAAGGGAGAGCGACGCCUCCAGCGUCGCCAUCAUCCGAACCGGGAAACCGGGUCUAGGUUCUCACCCGGAGCAGCGCAAGCAAGUCGACGGUAGUUGUAGUGGCGAUAUCUUCAAAAAGAUAACGACGUGA